AUCACACUCACUCUACCUCCUAUUUUCAUAAAGCAAUUUCAGAGCACCUCACCCCAACACUCUCUUCUCUCUCCGUGUCCUUCAUUACCACCCCCAACAUCAAAGCUCACCCCACUAAUAUCACUUCAAUGUUGCAUGCAAGUUAGGAAUUGAAUUCUUUGAGUCUCAAGAAGCAAGGUUAGAACCUAUAACUUCCUUCUCUCCUUCCCUCUGCCACGCAAUUAUCUCCCUCUCCACCUUCCCAAAUCAUUCUUAGCCUCCAAACCCUUAUUCACUAAACUGCUCAUUCAUUUCCAAUCCUUCAACUUAUGGUGGUUGCAUGUGAAAUUAAAGCACUUAUGAACCUUUGGGUAUUUGAUAUAAACUGGGAUUUAAAGUGGAAGUGAACAGAAAUGGAAGCUUGGUUUGGUGAAGUUUGGAAGAAUUUAUGUAAAAACCAGUAUUUCUGGACAUACCCUCACUAAAAAGCCUCGUGAGAUUUGGUGGAGAAAUAAGGUCUGUGCGAAUUUUUGAAAUGAAAGGUUCAAUACAGGAUUUUGCAGAAUUCGUGUUUGGACAGGGCUGCACUUAAAUGGUGAUUUCUCACUCUCUAUAAUUCUGUUUGAAAUCUCGUUUGUUUCUAUGGAUAGCUAACUCAAUUACGGUCGUCUUGGUUCUGGUUUGGUAUAUUAUGGAUGAGGAAUGAGCUCAGAGGACGCAUUUAAAGUUGGAGGUCUGAAGCUGCGUUAUGCAGAAAAUUCUGUUGCGAAUUUGCGUAUUCGAGUGGCACAAUCAUAUGGUUGUUAAGCGUGCGGGACAACUCGGUACUGCAAUUCAUAUCAGAUAAGCAGGUUGAUCGAGAUAUCUUGGUUUGUUAGCACGAAGAUUCAGAUACGUGGAUUACGUUAUGGAGCUGACAUCAUGUUAAUCUUAUUAUUAUAUAAGAUUCAGUUUAUUUGAGUUUAGUAGUUAGCUCAAUCAUGUAUUCAUUUAGUGGAUUAUUGUAAUCCUAUUGAUGUAUUUGAUCUUUAUGUAGUGAAAAAUUAAUGUUUCCCGAUUCAGUUAUGUACACUCUUGUUGAUAUUCUAGAUAAAUUGACAUGAGAUGUUAUAAUUGGUAUCAGAGCAGGUCGAUUCAGUAUCGGACCUUGCCGCGGAUCAUUAAAAUUCAAUCCAAAGUAGUAUGGACCCUUUGGAGUCUGAACUGUUUACGUUGAAAUCAUUACGUGCUGAGCCCGAUCAACUCGGUAUCGUGUAUGGUAGGCAGGGUAUUACGGUUGAGAACCGAAGCGGACCAAGGAGGUCUCGUAGCAAGAACAUGGUAGAAGCGCUAACUCAUAAGGAAGUAAGAGAGAAGAUCUCUAGAAGCGGAUGUUGGAGUUUCAGCAGUCGACGCUACAGGAGUAAGUAACACCAAUAAGUGGUUCGUAGAAUUUGGAAUAGUAUGUAGCAUAAUACCAGUAGUAAGGGGCAUGUCAGGAGAUGCACGAACCGAAUGCGCUCAACUGACGGUAGCAUGUAUAAGAAUGUGGAGAAUUCUGGGACUGAAAAAUUAUAGUAGGUCUGAUGGGCGCAUUAAUAUAGAUGAUGGAAUUAUGAGAACGGCGCGCCCAGUAUAUUGAAGUGUGGUACACCAGUAUUAUCCAACCAGCAAAUAUGUAUGACGUGAACCUAAUUACAAGAAGCACCUUAAUUCAAAUAAGAAUUAACAGGAGUCACUGAACCCAAAACUUUUUCGAAUUUGUUUAACCUUCAUUUCAGCCCAGUAGCUUUCCCCAGUGGCGUAGGUCAAUUAAAUACACUAUCGGAGAAAGACAAACUAGACUUCAUGCAUUACCUUAAUUCCUAAUGUUAGCCUGUUGCACCAUUCGAGUAGAACAAGAACACUAGACGCCCCAAUAAGAUAAGUUCAGCCUCGCAGUUCUUAACUAUAGUACUCAAGGAAGAUCAUUAGCAGCCAAGUCUCGUAUAGAAUAAUGAUUGGAAUUUAAUUCUAAUGCUAUCAGUCACCUAAGGCGACAUAUUAAAUGUCAUUAUCAUUUGCUUCAGGAACAAGUAACGCAGUUUAGUACUAACUUCAACAAGUCGCCAAAUAUUUUUUCGUAUUCAAACCUCUCAGCUAAAAAAAAAAAAAAAAAACCCAACAUAUUCAGUCAAAUCUUUUGUGAGAGUUGCUUAGCUAAGUGCUAAUGAGAAUCAGGUAUGUUCCAAUUCAAGAGAUUUGUCAUUGGAAGGAAAUCAUGAAGUAUGAACAUUAAGUUCCACGAACCUAUCUAAUUUUAGUAGAGAGGUAAAUCCUUUCGGUGCCUUGAGACCCAUCACUUACAUUUAGUGUAAGAACUCAAUUAAGUUGCGGACCUUUCUAGUUCCUCAAUAUGAGCGAAUCAUAUUCAAAUUUAGAGUGUUAUCCUUAUGUAACUGUGACAAAAUGUCUCCAGCUUUCCAGGUUUGUUAUAAGUAAUCGAUUCAGACUUAUGUAAGUUUGAAUUGCUUGUUAAGAGUAAAUGAUUAAUGUUCCUUUAAGAACUAUCAGCUAUUCUAGUUGACCUGCAAGUUAACAUCCUUAAGUGGUCUAACGUAGAGUAACUCUAGCCAGUAUGUCAUGUCGAACUUCAUAGCAUUAACACUAUGUUCCCCACCAAGAAAUUUUCCAAUCUUUUAGUUUCAUUACUAAUUACCGGUUCAGAACCACAUAAGUUUAAUUAAUUAUUCAGGUUCAUGCAUAAUUUCAGUUUAAGUUCUCACGUGUCUUGUUAACUUGUUAAACAUCGUAAGGUACCUCGAACGUUGGAAACGUUAAUGCAAUCAAUUCAGUUCACCUUUCUUUAUGAGAUCUUACCAACUCAUUUCGGAUAAAAAUCCAAGACCAUCUAGAGAUGUAAAAGUAGUAUCAAGAUUGGUGCUAAUGGUACGAACCUUUCAAUCCCAGUCACUGUAACCAAGUUAGACCAAUGUAAGUCUGGAAAUGUUAGCCAAUAAAUAUGAAUAAUUCUUUGGAAAAUCGUCGGAUAUCUUUAUGACCGAUUAAUUAGCAUCAUCAAGCAGCCCAAAGUUAGGCAACUUAAUUAGUAGUAGUAUCACCAUUAGUAAACCAAGACAAUUGUGUUUGACAGUUCGUUAGCAAUCAGUUUAUUAGAUAACCUAUUCACACCAGCCAGUGUCUCAUAUUUUUGUGUGUACCCCCCAACCAGGCCAGAUACCGACCUAAAGAAAUUUGUUAUGUAACAAAGUAAUUGUCGGGAACAAUAAAGAAAGUAAAUACAGAAAGAGGAUUGACUGUAGUUGAGGACCGUGAAGUGAUAAGUCAAACAGUAACCAACUCGCCAAGAAUAUCGCUGUUCGAAGUAAGAGUCGUGGUUGAAACAACUCAGUGAUCACAACCAAACGUAAUGGUAAGCAGAGACAAAUGCUAGGAAAUUGGUAAUAUGAAACAAAUGUAGACCGUAUGAGUUGACGUGUUGCGGACAUGUAAGAUUAUGGUAACGUGUUAAGUAUGCGGUGGUGUGGCUGACAUCACGAAGGGAUGCAAGUAUUACCUUGUGAUGUCUAGGUACAAGAAGUAAUAACAAAAGGAGUAAGGACGGACAAAAUAAGACGAUGUGUGACAUUGUCCGGGAAAUUGUAGGCUAAGGCUGUAAUGACACAGUCUGAAGAAGAUUGUAAGUAGUUGAUAUCAGAGUGCGCAGCCAAUAUUUGACAAGAAUAUAGUCAACAGAUUUGCUUGUAGGUCAAAAACUCUUUCAAAGAGGAAAGAUUUAUUCCAAAGGAUUGGAUGUGAAAGUCGAUAAGAUAAUCAAAGAACGUAUGACGAGUGACGGUUUACCCUUAAAGCUAGGGGUCACGUUGGGAAAAUAGUUCUUGAAAAGUUUGAUGCGGUGAACUAGUAAUAAAGUAAUUAUGCUCCGUUGUUAAUGUGCAAAGUGCGGAAAAAGAGACUAUUGUGCCGUGAGUGUUCGAACGGAGAAGGGAUAACGGAAAAGACUACUAUGAGAUAAGUGCGCACCUAAGAGUUGUAAUAUUGAAUAAGGUUGUGAAUUCGACGUCAUGAAAAUGGAUGAGUAGGAUUUCAAAAGUGGCAUAAAUAACUACUAAACGAAAUAACAAGUAAUGAUAAGUGAUCUGGGACGACAGAUUAUAAUCUGAUAAAAGGUGAAGUUUAGAAUCUGGACGGGGGUAUAGACAAUUUACUUUGGUGAUGAAUGAAUAAGUUCUGGAAUUUCGAGGACGAAAUUCUUUUAAGGGGGAUAGAUUGUAACAUCCCAACUUUAAUUAAUAGGAAAAUAUUAAUUAGAGAUGUUAUUGGAAACUAAAUAGAAAUGAGAGUACAAGUAUUAAGGGAUACUCAAAUGACACAAGCACACUUUGAAGUUAAGUGAAAGGAUAAGAUGGUAAUUAAACUAUGCCUAUAUAAGGUCAUCACACUCACUCUACCUCCUAUUUUCAUAAAGCAAUUUCAGAGCACCUCACCCCAACACUCUCUUCUCUCUCCGUGUCCUUCAUUACCACCCCCAACAUCAAAGCUCACCCCACUAAUAUCACUUCAAUGUUGCAUGCAAGUUAGGAAUUGAAUUCUUUGAGUCUCAAGAAGCAAGGUUAGAACCUAUAACUUCCUUCUCUCCUUCCCUCUGCCACGCAAUUAUCUCCCUCUCCACCUUCCCAAAUCAUUCUUAGCCUCCAAACCCUUAUUCACUAAACUGCUCAUUCAUUUCCAAUCCUUCAACUUAUGGUGGUUGCAUGUGAAAUUAAAGCACUUAUGAACCUUUGGGUAUUUGAUAUAAACUGGGAUUUAAAGUGGAAGUGAACAGAAAUGGAAGCUUGGUUUGGUGAAGUUUGGAAGAAUUUAUGUAAAAACCAGUAUUUCUGGACAUACCCUCACUAAAAAGCCUCGUGAGAUUUGGUGGAGAAAUAAGGUCUGUGCGAAUUUUUGAAAUGAAAGGUUCAAUACAGGAUUUUGCAGAAUUCGUGUUUGGACAGGGCUGCACUUAAAUGAGGACGCAUUUAAAGUUGGAGGUCUGAAGCUGCGUUAUGCAGAAAAUUCUGUUGCGAAUUUGCGUAUUCGAGUGGCACAAUCAUAUGGUUGUUAAGCGUGCGGGACAACUCGGUACUGCAAUUCAUAUCAGAUAAGCAGGUUGAUCGAGAUAUCUUGGUUUGUUAGCACGAAGAUUCAGAUACGUGGAUUACGUUAUGGAGCUGACAUCAUGUUAAUCUUAUUAUUAUAUAAGAUUCAGUUUAUUUGAGUUUAGUAGUUAGCUCAAUCAUGUAUUCAUUUAGUGGAUUAUUGUAAUCCUAUUGAUGUAUUUGAUCUUUAUGUAGUGAAAAAUUAAUGUUUCCCGAUUCAGUUAUGUACACUCUUGUUGAUAUUCUAGAUAAAUUGACAUGAG